rnacentral:snRNA from 1 species
AAACUUACUUGGCUGGGAGAUUCUCGCGAUCAAGAAGGCGGGAUCUUCAUGGCGAGGCUUUGCCAUUGCACUUUGGGCACGGCUGACCCGUGUGGUAACCCAGAGAGUGGGUUAGCCAACAGCAAAAUUUUUGCGUUUGGGGAUGCGAAGUUCGCUGUCCCUG